UAUUUCAUAAUAUAGAUUUAUUCAUAGUGUUUAAUUAUGUUAAUACAAAUCUUCUAUGAUUAACAAAACAUAAGCAAAAUAAAAACAAAAUAUACCAAAAGUGAUUCUUCGAUUUUACCAUGAACUUGAGAAUCAUUGCUAAGAAAAGUUGGAGAUUGGUAUAAAUAUUGAUUGAAUCAAAGCAGCAAUCAUCAGAAACUUAUUAGAUUCUAACCAAUAAUCAUCUUAAACAUGAAGUCCUUCUUGAUUACACUUUUGGUAUGCUUUGCUAUUGUUGUAGCAAUGGCCGCAGCUGCUCCAUCUGAAGAAGGAAUUUUCGGGGAUUUGCCUGACAGUGAUAUUGCCAACCCACAGGAGCCAAGCGAAUCACUGAAAUUGUUGCUGCUCAAGAAACUGAAGCUUAAAUUGUUGAGAGGUUAAGCUCGUUAACAUUUUGUUAUUAUUAAUAUACCUUAAGUACACAAAGUCCUAUUUAUAAGUCAUAAUGGUUACGAUACAAUUGUUUUUAUAAUUUCUAAGCUAUGGUUACAAUACAAUAUUCUUUAAAAAAAAAACUUG